CAGAUGGGGGGCACACACUAGCCACCUCGUGUGCAAGGAUAGGGGAGUCCAGCGACGGCGAGCGUUCUGUGUGGGGGAGGCGCUGGUGUGCGUGCGAAGGUUAGGGGAUAAAAAGAUCAGACGACUGUGGGCUGUUAAAUCAAACGGUAGGGGGUGGACCGGCCGAAAGUUUCGGCCGGCGCACCGGCGCCUAGCACCCGCCUUAGAUCUUUAUGAUAUUAUAUAGAAAAUCACUGAAUUGGUUUUGGCCAUCUCCACACGAUCUCAUCACAAAAGAUGAAGAGUUUCCUUCUUUCUCUCUCCCAGUACAUCUCGCACAAUGGCACAACCCUAAUAGCACGCAAACACCGUGCCACGCUGAUGCCACCUAUGCUUUCCGUUGGCCGUGAACUGAUUAAUACAUAAGCUAGCUUUGGAGGAGGCUGCUAGAUUGAUUCCAAUGGAGGUUAGCUACAACUAUCUCUACGGAUGUUACCUAGCUACAACAGGCCGAUGUAUUCUAGCUGGUUGGAUAACAGACGCGGCGUUGUUUCAUCAAAUCAUCGAUCAGUGGAGCAAAUCUACUGCUGGCCGGUCGACGUAUUCUCGACGGAUGAAGAACGCACAGGUGCGGUUUCCUCGAUCUGGCUGAUGUAUUCUCGCCGGAUGGAGAAUACGUUUGUGAUAAUUAGACGUUUUAUCAAGGCAUCAAUUUCUUUUUUGUAGGAGACCAGGGAAGGCAAGGCGACUAUGUUUUUGAUAAGGACGCGGAUGGCCAUCCGGUCCCAGUGCUUCUCUGAUGCGGUGCUAGAGUCUCCCCAUGCACUGGUCGGAAGCUGCGCCGUCGCCAUAGCAAUCAAUGUCAUCUGUCCAGCAGGAUCUUCGUAGGUGAACUAGGUUGGAGUCAAAUCUAUGGCUGACGGCAGAAUGGUUCAUCGGCUCAUCCACACAGACCUGGGGACGGUCACAUCUAUGGCACCACGCUGGAGAUCCACAUCACGAUGCCAUUGCCCACGCAUGCUGAACUAAUCGGGGAUGGGGCCUGAGAGGAGCAAUGGGCCCUCGCAGGAGCACAACACAACAAGGCCAUUGGGUACAAUCAGGAUUCCGGCGCCUUUGAUCAGAAGAUUAACAUAAUUUUCUUUGUCUUGCUAAGUGCAUCAGGAUCGUAUCAAGAUUCAUUCGAAAUCAGUUACUAGCAAACAGAGAAGCACUACUCUUCUAGGAAAUUAUCUACGCGGGUUCUUUGCCCCUAUGGUCUCACAAGAUUUUUGGUAAAUUUACAGCUAGCCAUGAAAGCAAUUGGUUCCUUGCAUCCUCCAUUUGACAGGUAGAACAUCUUUUGACUGCUCACCCGUACUUCUGUAUAGUAUAGCAUACAAUCUUUAGAUUUGUAUGUCUUUAAUUAAUAGUUCAGUUUUAUUGGUAUAUAGGAUAAUAAAUCGCUGUUAUGAUAUAGUAUAUGUUGCUUCUUACAUGCAAAUCUAAUUUUUUUGCUCCGCUAGAUAGUAAUUGGUCAAUGUAUUGUUCAGUUUGCGUUUUUAUGAAUUUGAUAAAAUUCAGUUGUAAGUUCUAAUUGGUAAGAUGCUAAAGUUUUCCUGCACUUCAUCCCUUUAAACGUAUAUAACAAUUAUAAGGAGGCCUAUAGCCUAUUAUCAGCCACGCGAGUGUCCCUUCCCUGACGUCUAUAUGCAGAUCUACGCUUCAUUGUACAUCCUGUUCUCUUCAACUCAACCCUCCACUGGUGUUUAUCGGGAGGCUGCAAACAUAUGUGAAAAUCGUUUGCUGGAGUAGUUUUUCUCAUAAGGCGCAGGCCGAUCCUGUAGCGUCGGGUCAUUAUGAUGCAUGCAACGAUGUGGUGUCCAAAGGUCCAGCUGGGCGCAAGUGCCUCUGUGUGUGUGCCAACAUCCUACUUUCGUCUCAUAAAAUUAGUUUAUUUGUUGUGUCACAACAAGAUUUUUUUUUGCUAGAUACAAACCACUGGUAGAACAGAGAAUGCUACUGCUACAAAGCAUGGUAAGGAAGGUGGCCGAGUAGAGGAAUCGGUGGAUGGUUGUGGCCUCGGCGUGUUUAAAACCAUUCAUUUCAUGGAUUUCCCAGUUUUACGCUGAAAAUUCAAGUCUAAUUUAGCUACGUACUGGAGGGAUUUCGGUACACGUAUCCUAAUUUGUAAGUUAUCUUUUGUAGGAAAUGCUCCUACAAUAUAAUAAUAUCAUUUUCAACUAGCACAUUCUCAUAUGAAUUUACACAAAUUGGAAGCUUUAUUACCCUCAGCGUAUGCAUCGUGGAUGCAUACAAACCUAAAUUAUUGUCAUUUUUCUUCUGUCACCCAGUAUAUAUGCGUGCUUUAGGCUUACACCUAUAUUUUUAGGCUAGCACAAAGUAAAUGCUUGGCUAUUAAAAUUAUUUUUUUGGGAUGUUCUACAAUAGAUACAAAUAAACUAAAGUAGUACGAUAUGUCUAUAGAUCCUCUCUUGCAUUCUAUAUAUAGUUCAAUAUGACCCGUGAGAGAGAGAGAGAGAGAGAGAGAGAGAGAGAGAGAGAGAGAGA
rnacentral:rRNA from 1 species